rnacentral:lncRNA from 1 species
GACGACCGUGUGGACGGCCGUCGGGCUGUGGCGUGGUGAGCCGUGGAACAGAAUCCGCCUCGCCGUCAGAUUCGUGGACCACGAAGUUCGCUUUCCGUGGUGGUAGAAACGAAUUGAAGGCAGGACCGAGAGUCUUCUCGACUAGGGCGUGGGUAGACUCGGGGACAUAGGCAACGAGCGCCGCCGGCGAGAGUUUCUGUUGCAACCAAUCAGCAGGUAUGGAUCUUUGGUUCCUCUGGCGAUGCUGCCUGCACUUUUUUUUUAGCCCUCUCAUUAGCUGAUCCAGAAGUUGGAUUUCUUGCAAGAUCGGAUCCAGUCUGGUAGGGGAGGUAGGGGAGAGCUUGGUGCCGGCUCUGGCGGCUGUGAAUGCCUUCGCCGUGGGGGAUCUCGAAGUGGCACCGCAGGUGAAGCACAAAUCUUGUGGGCGAAGGGGGUGGCGGCGAACAGAAAGGAGAGCUCGCCGCCAAUGUCAGGAGCUAUUGAUGGGGAAGAUGAAUCCCCAAGCUGCCAAGCACCGGGGUGGAACAGAAGGUUGGUGAAGUAGCAACUUUGCCUUCCAUCAGAAAAUCUGUAACUUAAGUUACAAACGAUUCAAUAAAUCAUGCAGUUAGAGCAAGUGCUUGAUUGCUGUCUGCACUAGUAAAUUUCAUGUUGUGUCCGCCUGUGUUUGGAGGCUGAUUUGUUCUGUGCGUUCAAAAAAAUGUAGGCUAUAUGCGCAUGUAAUCCAUGAAAGCAGAAAUGCAGGUUGGUUACUAUUCUCUAGUGGAAAAGAUUUCUGAUUCGUGUCCAAGUGGUUGCAUGCUGUUUGCUCCCUGUAUUUUGGAAAUCCAUGCCUCAUGAGCCUGUGUUUCCAGGCUUAAUUACUAAAUUAAGGGUUGGUGUUUUGCAGACUAUUUAUUGUCCUGUAUUUUGAAAACUCAUCUCAGAUUAUAUGUGCCUGUAUUGUUAGGGUGAUUACUCUCUGCAAUUACAAGAAUAAAGCUAGAUGUGCCUAUGAGUUGUAGGCUGAUUGGUUCGUGCAUUUAGAAAACUUCAUGAUUUAUGUGCCUGUGUUUGUAGGCUGAGAAUGGGAGGAGAACUACGAGGAGAAACAAACUAGAAUUGUAAGGAUGAUGUGGAUUUAUAUUUCCUUUCUCUUGCGUAUUUGUAACUAAGUUCUGUAUCUAUAAUGGAAUCUCCCUUGAUGUACACUGAAAUUGCAGGGGAGAAUGCUUAUGAGAGCAAACCUUGCAGUCGAGAG